AUUGAACGCUGGCGGCAUGCCUUACACAUGCAAGUCGAACGGCAGCACGGGUGCUUGCACCUGGUGGCGAGUGGCGAACGGGUGAGUAAUAUAUCGGAACGUACCUUAUUGUGGGGGAUAACGCAGCGAAAGCUGUGCUAAUACCGAAUAUUCCCUAAGGGGGAAAGCGGGGGACCGUAAGGGCUCGCGCAAUUCGAGCGGUCAAUACCUGAUUAGCUAGUUGGUGAGGUAAAGGCUCACCAAGGCAACGAUCAGUAGCUGGUCUGAGAGGACGAUCAGCCCCACUGGGACUGAGACACGGCCCAGACUCCUACGGGAGGCAGCAGUGGGGAAUUUUGGACAAUGGGGGCAACCCUGAUCCAGCAAUGCCGCGUGAGUGAAGAAGGCCUUCGGGUUGUAAAGCUCUUUUGUCAGGGAAGAAACAGCAGCUCUAACACAGUUUGCGAAUGACGGUACCUGAAGAAUAAGCACCGGCUAACUACGUGCCAGCAGCCGCGGUAA
rnacentral:rRNA from 1 species